rnacentral:tRNA from 1 species
GGUGGCUCAGUGGUAGAGCACUUGCCUAACAUACAAGAAGCCCUGGGUUCAAUUCCUUAGUACCA